rnacentral:ncRNA from 1 species
UUAGAUCUCUUGUUUACUAUUCUAGAUUUAGGUGUCUGUUUAAAACAACAAUUGUGUUUUUUAUCCUUUCUACAAACUAGUUGACUAUACACUUAAAGGCCUCUGGCCCUGAAUCUUAGCAGGCCGGCAACGGGGGCUCGGUGAAAGUCCGGGUCCUCAGCUGGCGUAUUGCAAUUUCACAAUGCGCGGGGAUAAAUCCUUUGCAUACGACUUAAUUGCUUGGCCGGGUCGUGUAAGUAGUAGAGUAGCCUUGUUGUUACGAUCUACUGAGCGUAAGCCUGCUGCCAACUUGAUUU